rnacentral:rRNA from 1 species
GACAGAGGGUGCGAACGUUGUUCGGAAUUACUGGGCGUAAAGCGCAUGUAGGCGGCAGCGCAAGUCGGGCGUGAAAUCCCACGGCUCAACCGUGGAAGUGCACUCGAAACUGCGCAGCUAGAGUCCUGGAGAGGAAGGUGGAAUGCUUGGUGUAGAGGUGAAAUUCGUAGAUAUCAAGCGGAACACCGGUGGCGAAGGCGACCUUCUGGACAGUGACUGACGCUGAGAUGCGAAAGCGUGGGGAGCAAACAGG